AUGGGAUUACAUAUUUUUUAAUUAUUAUUAUUUUUUUAGGUGAGGGAGCUACUGUUUUCCUCUGAUCCUCCCAGACACUCGUGAGCACAGGGUGAGGUACCUCCAAAGCUCCAAACAAGGGCGGUAGUCAAGAAGUAACUUAUAUGAAAUACAAAAUCCAGGAGGCAAGAGACAGUGGGAGACUUGGUCUCACCUUGAAGGCCAGCUGUGUGGGGAAGUCCUGAUCCCCUCCUGACGGCAUCAUCACCAGGCCAAGCCCCAGGGAACCGGUUCUGGUGUACAGUGAUGGAAGUGCAGACAACGAUGAUGUCCCAUCUCCGGUCAGGAUUCACAAGUGCUGGGGAGCCUGCUGUACAAUUGAUUUUUCUGUGGGUCACACUCCGCACACAGUGCUGGCGCUCUGUUAUCUCACUGUCAGAUGAGUAUAUUAACAUCCGCCUUAACAACUCAGGAGGCUGGGACAAUGGAUGCAAAAGUUCUAGGUCAAAUACAGAGCCCUGUACAUGUAUAAGGUCUUAUGCCACACUCCAUUUUUGGAGGCAAAUUUCAAGUUACUGGCCCGUGCCUGGACAAUUGGCAAGCCAGCUAGGAGUCCAAGGAAAUGGUGAGUGGCGUGAGGCAUCUGCAGGGGAAAUCCUGGGCUGGCCAGCGACAUCCAUGCAGGGAGGUCUGGCCCAUAUGCUUUUCCGUGGGGGAAAUCCCGUGUUGGCCAGAGUACAGGGACACCCAGGAAAUGCCAAGUGGCAUAGCCCAGUUGUGGGCAGACACGCAUCUUCAUAAGUGUAGAAAAGAAGCUAGGAGUGCAGUAGCGGCUGUGGGAUGGCCACCAAAGCCUACCAAGCUGCUUAAGUGCACAUAAGAGCUUUGCAGGAAGAGUUGCAGUUGGAAAGGGAUGUGUGGCAGUUGUGUGUGGCCAUGACUGAUGUAUUGAGCAUCCACAUCUGAGAACAGGAUAAGCAACUAGAAAUGCUCUCCUGCAGGUUUGUAAUGAUGGGAAAUUCAAGGGCUAGGGGAACAAUUCCCUAGCCAUUGCUCAAAGUGCUCUAACAAGCGCUCCAGAGAUAGCUGGAGGGGCUAAGCAGGUCCCUGGCACUGAGAACACCCUGUAAGGCCUAGUGCAAAGCAGGAGUUAAAACAGAAGAAACAACCAAAAAAAGGAGUAAAAAGCUUGUGUUGAGCAACCUUGAAAAGACCUUAGAGGCCGUCUCUGGAAUUCUCUGAUAACUGCCUCUGCCAAGGUAAUUGAACAGCAACACAGUCACAGCUGCAAUAGUAAGGGGAAAACUAAAAUAGGAGGGCCCUAUUUUAGGGCUACUGGGUUACUGAACCAAUGCUUGCACUUGGUAUGGUGGACACAUGGCUCCACAAAUGACUGAGGGCUCUGCCAACUUUGCCCAAAUCUUCUGACUUUCAGAAAUAAUUAAGACCAAGGAUUAAGCCUAGGUCCCUCUGUCACCGGGGAAAACCAAAGGCCUUAUGUUACAAUUGAAGUUCAAUGAGGAAAUGAAAAGAAUUGUAUAUCUUGGGUUUUUAGAUACCAUUGCACAUGUGACUUGUGAUCUCUUUUACACUUGAAAAUGAGGAAAGCUUUUGGGUCUGAGGUCACCAUUAUUGAGAUCCUUGCCCAAGCCUAACUAUGGAUAAGUCCCUAAUAGGGAUUUCUAUUAUAUGCAUUGAUGAUGUCAAUAUAUUAAGUUAUACCUUUGUAAACUUUUGCCUCCAAGCCCUGAUGGGAAUUACUGCAGUUAAGGCCGUUUUUAGUGGGGCACACCGAAGCUGUGACAUGGGCAAUAGCUAAUAGCCUGACCAUUCAGUCUGGCCACUGACAAUCCUCAGACUGACAUCUGGAAAAAAAAAGUCAGUUCUGUUCCUGAUAAGCUUUUGUUACUUGCGUGGAUGGUCACCAGAAAGGCCCCUAUGUUGAGAGGGGAAAACAACCAAAACAGCUCUUGCCAAUGGGCUGCAGAGGCUGAAGGAUCCUCUGCUCCAGAGCAACCAACCACCUCCUGGAUUUAAGAGAGGAUGACCCAUGAAGAUUCACACACCAUUCUAGACUGGGCCCACACACACGGACUGCCACCAUCAUCAGAAAACACUGGACAGCACAGAAAAUCUGACCUGCCUAUGAGACCAUGACCAAGGCUAAAACCCGCCCAGGAACAGAUUCCUGAGCCAACAGGCCAGGGCAUUCUCAGCAGAUAAAUCAUAUCGGGGCCUCUUACCCUAUACAAAGGCUUCCACUGGAUCUUGAAUGAACUCUUCACGCUGUACAUCACCCCCAAGCCAUAGGGGCAAUUGAGCACUGUAGUGGACAGGCUUAAACAGCUGAUAGGAGGGGACAAGACAGCCCCAGCAUGCACUUUACAUCUCAGGCAAGCAGUAUGGGGUCUCAAUGCAGCAGUUCCCUGCAAGGGCAUUUCUUAUUUGAUCAAACUGUUCUAUAAAAUGUGUUUGUUUGUAUACAACUGUUACUGACAAAAGGUCACUGCCUCAAGAUUAGGACAGACAGCCUGGGUGGCUAUACCUGGACAACCCUCACCGAAAGUUCCACGGAAGACAGGUGAGUGGAAGGGGGGGAUUGUUAAUGUUGUUUCUUUUUGUUCCGAGAUUAUCUCACAAUGAUGGACAGGCCCCUUAUCCAUGGGUCCCAAUGACACGGGCUUUUGCUAGAGCUACCAAUCAGACCAAAUGUUGGCUCUGCAAUAUUUGAACUGGGUCAUCUCCCUCUGUUGUUCCAGCUGAUCUGUCAAUAAGGAGGAUGCCUAGCGGACCAAAUGAAUGUGUAACCUGGUGUAAAUGUGUAACCUGUGGUAAAUGAAUACGGUCGACACCACUACUUGCGGAAAACAUCUUUAGAAGUAUGAAAGCUGCCUGUGGGGAGUGCUCCAACUUUAGAAGGAAAUUUCUCUCCGUGUGUUAAAAAUGUGAAAAGCACAGGACUAGAUGGUUUGACUCUGAGAAUGGUACUUUUAAGACUGAGUUUGAUAUUACUCAUGGAAGACUUGCAGAAUAUGACCAGAUGGUCCAAUGUACAUUGACUGACUACACCAAGGCUGAAUUAGCCUGGUCUGGUAAUGAUAAUACCUUGUUCAAUUGUGCUGAGAAAGGGAGCUUUUGUAUUACUGGUGCUGGAAUGUCUAAUGUUUAUAUAAUAUACCAUGUUGGGAGAAAGAUGCUGUUUUUGCAUAAAUGAUUGAGGGAAUGUUUCACAUAGAUAAGACUGGACAAAUACAGCCCUUUGAUAUAUUCGGUUGGCUUGGAUUAAGCUACAGCUGGGGUGGCUGGUUGGGAUCUCUCCUCCCAGCAGGCCUGAUCAAUCUUCUGGGGGCCAUCCUACUAGGAACCCUCAUUAAAUGCUGCCUCAAUGAUGCACGGAGGUAACAUCUUAUGCACCAAACCACAGAUGUGCAGUUCAACAUCCAAAAUGGGUGAUGGACAUACCAGGACUUGGUUUGUUUUUUGGAACCCUGAUGGGAGUCGGGGAUGGACUGUUGGGGGAGUGAUCUGCCUCUAUGCCUCCUAUCCAGGCUGCCUAAGUAAAGGCCUUGGGCCCAUAGCAUUCUCUGAAGAGGAGGCUGGGGAUUGAGUCACCUUCUCUCCUGGUUCCUUCUUAUCAGAGAAGCCUUCCUCCUGCUCUGGGCACAUAGUAACUUUAUCUCUUUCACAUGUGUGAGCACCACACGGUACCCAGUGUGGGGGGAACGGGGUCUCUCGUACUACGGCACAAGACAGAAAAUGUGCCACAUUCUAAGAGCUGGCAUCGAGAGGUGGACUGAAAGGGAAGCAGGCUUUGCAAGGCCAAACAUGGGCACUCUCGCGUGGUCUGAUAGUUCACUACAGUUUGCAUUCUUAUCUAAGCCCCUGGCAUGGAGCCACUAUUUUUCAACCACCUCUGCCCUCCCACCGUGGGGUGCGGAGAUCUGCUUUGGUCCAGCAGGUGUCCAGUAAUAAACUUCUUCACUGCCACACUGGAGUUGCCCACCCCUUUCUUUGGUCCCUCGGUGCCCUCCACUUUUGGAGGCAAAUUUCAAGUUAUUGGCCCAUGCCUGGACACACAGAAACACACACACAUACAAAAUUGCCAUUAAGUCAAUUCCAACUUAUGGUGAUUCCAUGUGUGCAGAGGAGAACUGUGUUUCAUAGGGUUUUAUUUAUUUUUUAAAUACUAUUUUAUAGUGUUUUAGGUGAAGGUUUACACAGCAAUUUAGGUUCCCAUUCAACAAUUUCUACACACAAGUUUUUCAGUGACACUGGUUACAUUCUUCACAAUGCAGGGACAUUCUCAUUAUUUUCAUCCUGGUUAUUUCAUUGCCAGUAAUCUAGCUUCCCUGGCCCCUCACAUUCUCACCUUUGUUCUAAAGUAAUUGUUGAGCAUUUGGUCUCAUAUAGGUGAUUUUUUAAAGGAGCACAGCACUUAUGGGUGAAAUUCAUUAUUUUUUGAGCCAAUUUGUUAUUUAGCUAUAAGGUGAUGUUAGGGGUUAAUUUCGGUUCAAGGUUUAAAGAGUAUCUCGGGGCAAUAGUUUUGGGGAGUCUUCCAGUCUCAACUUGUCCAGUAGUUCUAUUUUUUUGUUUUUUUAGGAAUUUGAGGUUCUGUUGCACAUUUUCUUGGCAUAGACGAGUGAGCACUUCCAGUGCUGCACCUGUUUGUUGAAACAUCUCAAUUAGUAUGCCAUCAGUUCCUGGAGCCUUGUUCUUUUGCUUAUGCCUUCAGUGCACCUUGGACUUCUUCAGCAUCAUUGGUUCCUGAUCACAUGCUGCCUCCUGAAAUGGUUGAACGUUGACCAAUUCUUUUCAGUAUAGUGACUCUGUGUAUUCCUUCCAUUUUUUUUUUUUUGACGCUUCCUGCAACAUUCAAUAUUUUUCCUGGAGAAUCUUUCAAUAUUGCAACUUGAG